rnacentral:lncRNA from 1 species
CCAGGUGAGAAGUGAGGUCGCCUCGAUGCCCCCUUUCUUGCCCUCCUUCCAGCUGUCACCUUGACCCUUGGCCCACCUCCCCGUCAAGCAUAAAAACGUGCACAAAGAACACAGGAUUUGGAUUUGCACAGAUUGUGGCUUUAAAUCUAGGUUGUGUGACCUUGAACAAAUUGUCCAACCUCUUGGCGUCAGGUUCCUUGUCCUUAAAGUGACUUGGGAGGAUUAGCGAUGACGCGUAAAACGCGUAGCACGGUGCCUGGUACAACGCGAGUUCGCAGCUAUUUUCACUCCCAACUAGCAGUGAUUGGAGCUGGGCCCCCCUCUUCCCGCCCCAGACUCGGCCCAACCUGGUUCGGGAGCUGCCUGUCUCCAGCCGCGAAAGGGGGAGGCGUCCCGGAGCAGCCGACCAGCCGCCCAGCCGACGGUCUCGCGCUCCGAUUUCCUCACCGUAUGAAAUGAAAUUCCACAGGGGGAUUCAAAAGGAAAUGAGACCGGGACGCUCCGUGCUGCUCGGCCCGCCGCCCUUCCUGUCUUGGGGACACGGUUUCUAAAUAAGGUUGGGAUGGUGAGAGGGCGGGAGGGGGGAGGCUUGACCUGUGUGCUGGGGGCAAGAAGCACAAGCACCAGGACUCUCCCUUCCCCAGCCUCCUGGCCCUACUUCCCUUCAACCUGCGCUCCUUUCUUUCUUAUCCUGCUUCUGUGUGGUUCUGGGGAUCUGGAGAUCUUGCGACCUGGGUACCCAUUUAACUUUCCUUUUGCAUUCUCAACCUCAGGGGCUUUGUGUGCUCUACCCUCUCUCUGCUUUACCGUUAGCCGGUGAAACUCCCAGCAGGUGGAUUCCUAAACCGUUUACUUGUUGCCUGACUGUGGUGGAGCAACUGUGCCUCUCCAAGCCUCAAACUAACAUCUGGCCAACUUCUGAGGGAAGUUCAUGUCUACCUCACACAGUUGUUGAGAGAGUUAACUGAGAUAACGCCUGUAAGUCAUUUUGCACAAUGUCUGGCACAUAGUAAAUGGCACAAUAGUAAAUGCUGAAUAACUUGGUUAUUGUUGGGUUUUGGGUUUUGUUUUCUUCUGGGACCACUAGACAAGGUCAGUUAUAGGACAACCUCCUACUUUCCAGACGUGUUAAAGACAUCUCUGGCAGCCCAGGUCUGAGGAUAUGGGUAGAGGGAUUUCUACCCUCUUCCUGAGACCUUUUUGUUCAACACUUGCCACUGUUUUCCUGGGGCUUUUUAUACCCUCCCAUUUCAGCUGAUUCUUGGCACGUAGCAGGGAGUAGGUAUAAAUUGGAGGAAUGCACCAUUAAUGUAGUGCUCAUAUUUUGUCGUAUAUUUUUAGUUUUCUUAUAUUACCAACUCAACUUGACUGAGGGCAAGAAUGUAAUCAACUUCAUUUGGUGUUUGGCUUUGUGCCUAGAACUAAUUCGCAGGUCUGUGGUCAUGGUCAUAACCUCCCUGUGAAGGAGGCUGUAUAUCAGCCCCUUAAGGAGAUUAGCAAACUGAGGCUAGAACCAAAGUAAGAGAAAAUGACAGGACCAACCAGAUCAUGGCCCAAUGGAAGCCCUUCAAAGAAGGAAAUCAACAUUAUUUCCCCAGAAAAAGUCCCCAUGUGGAUAUCAAUGUACUCAGCAGUAAGGUUGAAUCUUUGGCUUGAAGCACUUAUGCUGAGACCAUUAGACCAUUAGACCACAUGAGACCAUUAGCCUACACAGAAGAAUAGAUAACCAGAUGAACAGAGCAAAUUAUCUAUUAAUUAUUUGGGCUACAGAGAUGAACAUAUCAAGUGAAGAGAUUAAAUAAAUACCCGAUCCCCAUCCUCUAGGAUCACACAGGAGACAAAGAAUAAACAAACAUCAGUAAUGUUUGUUUAUUACAUUUACCAUCAGUGUGGUAAAUGUGCAGAUAGAGAAUUGUGGGUAAAUCACAGGUGGAGGUAGCUGAGUUUGGAGGGCUACUCAACGGGGCUGACCUGCAGAAUUCUGAGCCAUUGAACAAAGCAGUUAGUGUGAAAUUGGCCCUUCUCCUAGAGCAGGAAGGGGAGGGAGGCAUGCUCCCUGCUAAAGGCACAUGUGUAUGGUUUAUGAAGGAAUGAACUCUCCGCAGUCAAGAGGAGGACCUGCUCCUCACACAGGGCACACAGAGAAGACAUCAUGAGUGCUGAGUGAAAGAAUGCUAUUACCAACUCAAUAAAAAUAAAAGAGAACUCAUGUAGAACCCUGACUCUGAGCCAAGCACUGUGUUCCAUGACUUACAUUCAUUUCAUUUAUUUCUCACAACCUGAGAAGAUAUGUUUUGAGAGGUCAAGCAAUUUACCCAAGAUCACAUAGUAAGUGGUGGAGAAGGCUCAGAUGCAAAUGGACCUGGCCCUAAACUGUGUGUGUGUUACUGCUCUCAUAGAGGAAACUGCUUAACACCUAGCCUAAUCCACAGGUAAAGAUGACCCUUUUGUGAUCCUGACCUCCUUCUAGGCCUGGCAUCCCUGCCUCAGCAUGUUUGGAGCAACUGUCUCCUAUGAGAACACUUGAAGAAGCCCCUUCCCUGUCAGAAGCUUUUCCUGUCAACAGCUUUUCUUUCUAGGUAUUUUCCAAAAAAGAAAGCCAGGGGAAUCACAUUUCAGUCUGAAUGUGGAAAGAAAACAAAGACCACAACUUAGGGCUAAGUCUGAAUAGCCUGGAGCCCCUUCAGCCCCCCUCUCAUGGAGUGGUUUACUCAGUCCACAACUGCCCCUGGUGACAGGCAUGGCAUGUUUGUCUUUGUUACAGUGACAUGCACAGCAUUUCUGAGAGGAAAAGAUAGUGACGUGUGAAUGGAACCUUCAGUUAACCUAAAGCCCUGGCCUGGGCCCCUAGUGGCUCUGGCCCUAGUGCAGGGCAGUUUCCUUGGUCCAGCCGGGAGUGGUAAAGAUGCAGCCAGUUUGGAGCUGCCACAAACAUGACUUCAGCGGCUGUUGGCCAGUUGGAGGGCUCUCUAUUUGCAUCUAAUGAGGGGCCGGGUUCUAAUUAACUCCUGUGAUGUGUUAAUUUUUCAACCUGACAUUUUCUGCUCUAAUAGAUUCUUGUAAUGGUUCCUAAAUUAAAGGCUGCAUUUAAAGACUAGAGUUUAGGUUAAACUCCAUCACCUAAGGGGGUGGGAGCUGUAAACAUCCUUUCCCUCCUAAAGGAAACCUCUCAUUUGCAGUUCUUUGCUAACCCAAUUAAGUGUUGAAGUGGUCACCCCAGAGCCUGCUUUUUAUUUCCUGUGAAACAAUCCAACUAAUCCAUAUUCAGUAGCUUCCAAGAAAAGUCUUAUUUCAACCACUCAUGAAGAAACCAGCUUCUUUGAAUCUAGGCAGAACAUUUAGAACUCACAAAGAGUUGUCUUGAUAGAAAAUGCAAGAAAGUAGUUUAUUAUUACCCUGUUUGGUUUUUGAGGGAAAAUUUUGCUGGUACUAAAACCCCGUAAGUAUUGUGAAUUUACUGAAAACAACAGAACCAUAGGGAAAUGCCAAGCCACAUCCUAUCAGUUUAUAAAUAGUCUGGGUGCUUCGUCUUCCCCUGCACCCAAACUAGUUAUAAAACAAAACCAUGUCUACUGAAGAAGGUGGAAGGGAACACUGAUCUGGCUCCAAGUUGAGGAAUCAAACAUCCCAAAAGGCUAAGUGACAACUAUUUAACUGGCAGAGCCAAAGUCUCUUAGUCCAUUGUACUACUAGUCAGGAGGGAAGCAUCAUCACCACUGAGAUCUUGAUGUCAAGGAAUCAAAGUCCAGUAGUUCCUCCUACCCAUAUAUUCAGCAAGCAUAAGAAGGUAGUGAUGGUUUAACACACAGAUGAGAAACCAAGACCUCUGUGGGAGGCAAAAAUUAAUGAAGACACACUUUCUACCUCCACUACCUCAUUUUGUUUCAGUAUUUGACAAGCCAUUAGCUGAUGUCUAGAGAUGGAUUGUUGCAGAUGUGUCACUGCAGGUAUGCAGACUUAUAAAAGAUGGUUUCUGCCUUCAAGAAGCUUUUAGUCACACUGGGGAAGAUGAACAUGAGACCAAAAGUGAAACAAGUUCUUUAAGGCAAGUACUUUUUCUUUGGACUCGCCCCAUUCUCCCCCUAGUGUACAUAAGGUUCUACAUUAUAAGGUUCUUGUUUAUUCUUUGUCUGUUUCAUUACCUUUGAGGUCAGAGGCUUUGUCCUGUUCUCCAUUGUGCUCCUGAUCAGAAUAGAACCGGACCAUUGAAGGCACUUAGUAGUUAUUUGUUGAAUAAAUAAAUGAAUGUUGUAAGUGAUAAGUGAUCUGCUUUUUCAGAAGAGAGUCUUCAUUAUGGGCUGGGUAUAGGCAACCACCAAAACACAUCCAGUUAGAUCAUAAGUUAAAGCCUGGUUCACAGCUUUCAGCUUUCUUCUGAAGUCAUGUUUUGCCAAUCAUUUAUCUUCUUCUUUAUGUAUUUUUUUAAAUUUACAAUGCCUAUUCUUAAACACUUUUCAGUAGAACAAUAUUUUUGGCUAAAAUCACCCUUUGAUUCAGAGGCAAAUGAGUUUCUCUACUUUGUGAAUCAACAGAAGAUAAUCUCUUAUCACGGUUUAUUGGCUAAUCAACCACUCAUCUCAUUGUCAUCUGAAGCCAUUGAGAAUCAGAUAUGCCAUGAGAUAGAUCUCAAGCCAAGGAAUUUUAAGUCAGUGAAUCACUUCUUGGUAAGUUUGUAGGAAAAAAUGGACCGUGAACUUAUCUUUGAGGGGUAUGUAUGUAAGUUUUCCAGAGACUCAGGGAAGCAAUGGGAAGAAGGCAUAUGAAAUAAUCUCUAAGAGGCAACACUUUCAACAUGUAAUUUUCUGAUGAGAAAUGAACAGGAAUCAAAAGGAUGCUACAUAAUGAUCAAAGAGUGAACCAACUACAUAAUGUGAAAACAUGAAUUAGACUAGACAAGGAGGUAGUUUUCAAAACAUGGCCUCAAAUUCUUUGACAUUCCCCCCAUUGAAAGGCAGAGUUUGUUCCCUCUUCUUGAAUCUGGAAGAGCUAUGAAUUCUCCAACCAAUAGAAAACAACAGAACCAAAUGACACUAAGUGACUUUAAAGGUAUAUCAUAAAAGGCCAUCCAGUUUCUACUUGUCUCCUGGAAAACUUACUUUGGAGAUCUGAGCAUCCUUUUAAGUAGCCCAACUUCUCUAAGGCACUAUACAGGAGAGGUCACCUGCAGACUUCCUAUAUAAUGUUCCCAAGAUGAACUAGUUUUUCAGACAGCCCAAGACAGUUCCAGAAGUAAAGAAGCCAUCUUGAAAGUAGGUGCUUUGGCUCCAGCUGUUCCUGUUUUUUCAAUCAUCACUGCACAUACAUCCUGGAGCAUAGAACCAUCCUUGCUGUACCCUUUCCAGAUUCCUGCCACACACAAUCCAUGAUUAUUAUUAUUUGAUGUCUUUAAGUAUAAAUUGGUUUGUUUUUCAGCAACAUGUAACCAGAACAGAAUUAAGUUAUCAAAGGAGAGAGUGAUUUUGCUUGGAAUAAUAAUAAUAAAAAAAGAAUGAAUACCAUCCAAAGAUGUUAUGUCUUCUCCUGGGGAUAGAGAUAGCAUGUUUUCAGUUGUGAGCCACAGUUGUAUUGUGUGAACUGAAAGCAUGAUUUAAAUGUUGAAUUUCAUCUGGAACUUAAGCUAAAAGAAUUGUGUGUGUGAAUGCCAACCUACAAGGAACAGAAUCAGGGUAUUUGUACUGUGUCAAUGUAGCAAGACUGGAACUAUCUUUCUCAGAAUUCCCUUCCCUAUGUGGUUACUAACUAGGGUUGACCACAAGAGAAAUUGUCACAAGAGUGGGAGGUAAUAGAGAAACAUCAUUUUCAUGCUCUGAAAGUUAGUGGCAGAUACCAGCACACCAUGGAGUCACAAACAUUUUCUUGGAUCUUCUGACUCCCCUGUUGGCAUGGGCAGCACUCAGACCUGUAGCUCCUUUAACUCCUGAAGAUAUCUUUCAUAUUCUUCAAGUCCUGGCCAGAUGAAUGAAUAUUUCUGUCACUAAGAGCUCUAGCUUCUGCAAGUCACCUGCUUAGUCAAGGUUAGAGGUGGUUUUUAUCUAUGGGUUUUCUUGAUCCCCAAAAAGUCAAACCUAGUUUUAUUCCUUGACUGCAGGCCUGCCUGAUCUGUAUGACUUCAAGUACAACACCAGACAGAGGUAAUACCUUGCAUUAGAGUGUUUUACUGGCUUUCACAGUUCUGAAAGGGCUAAUCCUUAUGGUAAAUUCUUUAUUCUAUCUCAUUCAUAGUGACUCCAUAUUUUUGAUCAGAUCUAACUGAUAUAUCCCUUUAAAAAGAUUCAUAUAAUAUUAGCACUUGGAAGCUACCAUAGAAUUCAUCUCAUCCACUCCUCACUUGAUGAAUGGGGAACUGAGGCUCCAAAUUCAACUACCCAAGUGGCACACAAAUAAUGAGUUGAACCAGUCUGCUAACCUGCACCUACUAUAUCAGAUCAUAUUAUCUAUACCCAAAACUUAAGUAUUUAAGUGCCUCUAUCAAGCACCAAAUACUAAGUACUUUACAUACAUUAUUUCAUUUAGUCCACAUUACCUCCAGAAUUUAUUUUAAAUCUGAAUUACUUCUCUUCAUCCCCACUGCCAUGAACAUAUAACCCUCAUCAACUCUCACUUGAUAACUGGCUCCUGACUUGCCCCCCUGGCUCACCAAGGAUGCAUUCUCUACACAACAAAAGGAAUCUUUUAAAAGCUGCUCCAAUGCAUCAGGCCUACAAAGACCUGUGAGACCUGUUCCCAUCUCCCUUUCUCUUCAGUCAUACUCUCUACCUUGUUCACCACACUCUGGCCACCUUAACCUUCCCUCUCUUCCUAAAAUGUGCCAAGCUAGUUCCUACCAUAGUAUUGUUGCUAGCCCCUCUGCCUAGACUCCCUCUCCUGGGUCUUCUCAUGUUUGUUCCUUCCUGACAAAUGUGAUUUGCUCUGAGAGAUCUUCCCUGAACACUCAUGUCUCAUUCUUACUUUCUGUUGGUCACUCCUCAGCCCUGUUUUAUUUCUUUCACAGUGCUUAUUGAUGUAUACCACUGUCCGGGGUAUUUAAUUGCUUGUUUAUUUUCUCUCUCUUAACUGCAAGGUAAAGUCCAUGAAGUCAGGGUAUUGACUAUCUUAUACACUAGUAUAUCUCUAGUAUAAACCUAGUAGGCGCUUAGUAAAUAUUUGUUAAAUGAGCAAAACUGUGUGGCAGUACUAUAAUUCUUUUGUUUUACAUAUCAGACAACAAUGUGUGAGAAAUUAAGAAACUUUCUUGAGGUUUCUCAGUAAAUGGCAAGUUGCUGUUCUGACACGUUCUGUGUGACUGUACAUCCUGUGUGGUGUUUAACCUCUGUUGGCCAACUUUAUUGUCUCUCCUCCCCACAGCUCUUCUCUGGGUGGAAAAUUUAUCCUAGUAUAUUGGAACUGCAAAGAGCCUUUAAUAAUCAGCUGCUUUCUUGCCUAGUCAUUAUAGUAAAGUUAGUCAAUCAACAACUGUUUAUUGAGUCUAGUAGGAUACAUUCCUAAGGUAACAAAAAUUUCUCACCCAAAAAGGGUAGACAUUAAGGAUCACUCAUUUAUAGCAUCCUGGGAAUUUCCAAAAACCUUCAUUUUUAUUUGAUUGUCCUUCAGUAGCCUUCCGUUGUUCAGUUUCAAGAAUUUGAUGGACUUAUAGGUCUUCCUGCCUUAUUUUUUCCUCUAUUACCUCUGUUAUUUCUUUUUCCUUUAAGAAUCCAAACCUGAGCUCGGUCUGGUGACCCACAAGCAAGAGAGGUGGGAGGGAAAAGGAGGGAGAAGGGGAAUUGCACGGAAGAUGGAAGGAGACCCUCAUCAUUAUACAGAAUACAUGUAUGAGGAUGUGAGGGGAAAAAAAAAGAAGUGUGUCCCAUUAGAUUGGGUAGAGAGAAGUGAUGGGAGAGGAGGGGAGGGGAAGGGGGGAAAGGAAGGACAGCAGAAUAAAAUAGACAUUAUUAUUGCUAUAUGUAUAUAUGUGACUGCAUGACCAAUGUGAUUCUGCAAACCGUACACUCAGAAAAAUGAGAAAUUAUACCCCAUCUGAUUCAAAUGUAUGAUAUAUCAAGAUCAUUGUACUGUCAUCUGAGUGUACAGUUUGCAGAAUCACAUUGGUCAUGCAGUCACAUAUAUACAUAAUUGAAACAAAUUUUAAAAAAAGAAUCCAAAUCUGGCAGGGUAUGAUAUUGCACUUCUAUAAUCCCAGUGGCCUGGGAGGCUGAGGCAGGAGGAUCACAAGUUCAAGGCAAGCCUCUGCAAUUUAGCAAGGCCCUAACCAUCUCUCUCUCUCUCUCUCUCUCUCUCUCUCUCUCUCUCUCUCUCUCUCACACACACACACACACACACACACACACACACACAUUUAUGUAUGACUGGAGAUCUGGAGAUGGAGAUAUAGCUCAGUGGUAAAGAGCCCCUGGGUUCAAUCCCCAGUACCAAAAUAAAUUUUAAAAAAUGCAAACCAAUAGUUCCAUUUCUAUUCUAUGCUGUUGUAUUCUAAAACAAGAAGAAAGAUGCCUUUUAAGAAAGCAGUUUUCAUGCAAAGAAACAGUAACAGCUGAUCACAUCUGAUAGACUACUACAGACCUAGAAAGAAAUUUUCAGAUCAUCUGCUACAGAAUCUUGUUUAACAAAUAAAGAAGAUGAGACUGAAUUGAGAGGGAAUGACUCAUCAAAGACAGGUUUAGAACUUGGUAGUCCUUACCCUUCCUCUAGGACUCUUUCCACCACAUCUGUCUUCUCUACACUUCCUUUCUCCAGAAACCAGGAUUGCUGUGAAAAUCAGGUUAGGUAAACAGCGAAGAUCCAUCAGGUAGACCCAAGGCUUCAGACUGCAUAUGGGAAGUUAGGUCAUAGAUUACUCUGUAUAAACAGACCCUUUCCUGUUCUUAUAAUACUCCCACACAUUAUCACUCACUCAUAAGAGUGAACAGGCAAUGCCUGGCCUGCCCACCCUGCAAAGUGACCAAUCACUUUAUGUCUGCCAUGGCAUUUCUCCUUUCUCCUUAUCAAAACAUUGUUUUUCAGAAAAAGCAUUGUGUCGAAUGACUCUCAUUUCUACCUCUGUGACUCUUUGAAGCCUUCCCCAGAGGAGCAAGCUAAUAAGGUCUAAAUUUCCGCAUCUACCCGAGGCCAAAGUGGUAGAGGCUCAAAGAAUGUUGAAACUGCAAAACACCUUAGAGAUCAAGGAGCCAAGGUCAUCACCUCAUUUUGCAGAUUAAAUGAGGAUACAGAGGAAAAGGAAACAUUAACUGUCCACACAAAUACUGCUAGUUAGACAUGGGUAUGCUAGAACCUAGGCCUUUUGACUUUGCAGUUCAGUACUUACUACAUCACGCUGAAGUCUUGGCACUUACAACACAAAGAACACAUCGAACCCCCAGGAAAGGGUGUUGAAAGAUGCACAAUAUCUUCCACCAGGAAAUGAGGAAUUCUGUUUGGUCCUUAGAAUAAAGCUACACAAUAGUAAUUCUCUCCAAUAAAAACAAAGGCAAAAAAAAUUUUAUCAUCCUAGGAGUUUUGUGAGAAUUGAAGAGAUUUAUUUAAGUUUAUUUACUUAAUUUUGUUUUUAAAUACUGGAGAGUUCUUACCACUGGGCUUGGAAAAUACCGUUAGCUUUCUCCCCUACCCCACACCAGCUUUAUUGCAAUAUAAGUAACAAAAUUGUAUAUAUUUGUAGUUUACAAUUUGAUGUUUUGAUACAUGUAUAUUCUGUUAAAUGAAUGCCACAGUCAAGUCAAUUAACAUACCUAUUAUAUCACAGUUAUCUUUUUUAUGUAUGUGGUGAAAACAUUUAAGAUCAAAAAUCCCUCAGUGUAAACUAUGGUAUUUGCUGUGGUCACCAUGCUAUAUAUCAGAUCUCCAUACUUUAUUCAUCCGACAUAACAAAGUUUUACCCUUUGAAUAGCAUCUCCUGAUUUCCCUACCUCUUACCUCCUUGGCAACCAUCAUCUUACUCUAUGAGAUCAACUUAUUUUUUAUUCCAAAUAUAAGUGAGAUUGUAUAGUGUUUGCCUUUAUGUGCCUGUAUUCUUUUACUUAGCAGAAUAUCCUCCAGGUUCAUACAUAUUGUCACAAAUGACAGGAUUACAUUUUUUAUAUAAAACAGAAUAAUAUUCCAUUUUCUCUCUGCUUCUCUUUCUCUCUUUGCACAUGUGUGUGACAUUUUCUUUAUCCGUUAGUCAUCAAUGAACACUUAGUUUGAUUUAGUACCUUAGCUAUUGUGUACACUGCUGCAAUGAACAUGGGAAUAUAGAUAUCUCUUCAGCAUACUGAUUUCAUUUCCUUUGAUUAUAUAUCGUGUAGUGGGAUUGCUGGGUCACAUGGUAGUUCUAUUUUUAAUUUUUCAAAGAAUGUUAUACUGCUUUCCAUAACUAUUUUCCACAAUCCCCAUCAAUGGUGUACAAGGGUUCCCUUUUCUGCACAUCCUUGCCAACAUUUGUUAUAUUUUGUCUUUUUAAUGAUAACUAUUUUAACAGGUCUGAGGUAAUAUUUCGUUGUUGUUUUGAUUUUCAUUUCCUUGAUCAUUAAUGAUGUUGAGCACUUUUUCAUAUACCUGUUCAUCAUUUGUAUAUCUUCUUUUGAAAAAUAUCUAUUAGGUUCUAUGUCAAUUUUUAAAACCAGGUUUUCAUAAUUUUAAGUUGUGUGAGUUCCUUAUAAAUUUUUUAUAAUAACCCCUUAUCAGAUUUAUAAUUUACAAAUAUUUUCUCACAUUCUGUUGAGAAUUGGGUUGAUUGUUUUCUUUGCUAUACAGAAGCUUCUUAUUUUGAAGCAGUCUCUUUUGUCUGUUUUUGCUUUUGUUGCUUGUGUUUUUGGGGUCAUAUCCAAAAAUUCAUUGCUCAGAUCAAUGUCAAGAAGCUUUUCCCUAGUAGUUCUAUAGUUUCAGGUCUCAUAUUUAAGUCUUUAUACCAUUAUGAUUUGGGUUUUGUAUGUGGUGGGAGGUAAGGGUCCAAUUUCGUUCCCUGUGGAUAUCUAGUUUUUCCAAGACUAUUUAUUGAAGAGACUUGCUGCUUUUAAAAUUCUUCAUUUUUGACUUUUGAGAAUUUGAUUAUAAUGUCUUGGUGAAGAUCUAUUUAUAUCUAUUCUAUUUGGGGUUCUUUGGGAUUCAUGGAUCAACCAACAUUCUUUUGAGAUUUCCAAAGUUGUCUCUGGCAGAUAUUUUCUUUCCCCAAGGUUCUCCUUUAGCACAAACCAAAAGGCCUGGUUCCUUCAGCAGAUGUAGCAAUGCAUAAAGCCUCAAGUCCUCCAAUUCCAGGUUAUUUUUCAUUGCCCUUGGGAGCACUAGCUCUUAUGCCAGCACGGAUAUACUAUUUUGAAACUAGAUGAAUUUCUCAGAAAACUCAGGCAAAGUGCCAUUUCAAGGAUAUGUUUCAUAGUAUCAUCCCACAGUGUAGUAUCACAGCUCCUGUCCCUCAGCCCAGGCUUUGCCACCUAAGGAGAAGAGCUGCCUUGUUCAGGGUUCACCUCUGAGCAUGUUGGAGAAACCACAUUCACAAAAUUCAAAGGGAUAUUUUGCUCUCGUGAGAUACUCUUUUACCAUGGGAUAAUUGCAAAGGUACAUUUUUCCAUGGAAUAAUGCAUAUAAUAAUUUCCAGUUCUUGUCUUAGGUCAGGUCCCUUAGAAGAAGAGCCUGAGAUAGGGAUUUGUGGUAAAGUGAAAAACUAAAUGUUUUCAAGAAGGGAAGAGAGAUAUAAUAGAAGACCUCGGCUAAUGUCUAACUUCAGCCUGAUCCCAUGGGGAGUGAUAAGCACAAAUUGCACCACAGAGUUAGUCCCACAUUGAGGUAAGGAGGGCUGAUGUUUGUUAUCCCCAUGACCACUGGUUGGUCAUCGGUCACUGUCUGCAGAGGUCACGCACGUGGCAUAGGGUAGCUCCUCUUUGCUCAAGGUACCUUCUUCUUGGCCAAGGGCAAUUCUCCAAAGAAGGGGAUAACCGUGAGUUGUAUUCACCAACUGUCCCAGCAGUUGGGAGUAGCUGCCUUUGUGCACUGGCAUCCUUAGGACAAAAACAGCAGUUCUAAAUCAUGAGACAAAAAAGUUAUUUGAAUCUAAAUAUUGGUUUAUUAAUCUAGAAGUUCAUAAUCUUAAAGAGAUUAUAUCUCACUAUUUAUUCCUUUUUAUGCGUUUAGUUAGUGAGUAAACCAAGACAGAAAUCACAUAGCAAAAUUGACCUGUAAUUCCAAGUAGUUCUGACUAAAGAUGGUGUUCAAACAAGCCCUAGCAUCCUAUGUAAGUAUUCUGCCAACCUACUGAAAUACAUCUUUGUUACAGUUCAGUCUUAUAGUAUGACCAAUAGGUGGCACCAGAAACACCCAUACUUAUUCUUUAUUCUAACUAAUUUAUGCCGUAUGUAUGUAUAUGCUGUUACUUCAAUCUUUUUAUUUAGGUUUUUCAUAUUGAAGAUUCAACCCAAAACUUGGUAGCUUACAGUUUACCAUAGUCAAAUUUGCAACUGUACUUUUAUCUCAUAGGAUUCUUUGAGUGUGAAAAAAAAUAGGGUGAUAGGGCCAGUGAAUUCAGAAAGAAAACAUCUAUUCAUUAGCAAAAGGAAGGAGAAAAAAAAACUGGAGCCCUGCAUCCUUUUUCUUCAAGGUCUGUUGAGUGUAUAAAUGCCGAGGAUUAUUAGGAAAUAUUUGAAUAACAGGAUAAAAAAGUCAAGGAUACUGCCUCCAAAACAUGAACUUUAUUCCCCACUGAAAACAGACUUGGAUGUCAACCAAGUCGUUCAAGGAUUGCCCUCGCCAAUAUCUGACCACAGGGUUCCACCCCGGGGAAAGGUCUCCGAGUCCAGCAUUCACCAUUUUCAAGUUUGCUUCUUUUGAAGUUUGUGUUUUAUUGUUGAUGAAGGGAAGUAAAGGAGGAGGGGUGCUACAUCUUUCAGUUUUUUUCCCAGCAGUGCGGUAUUGCACUCUUUUCCUAUGACAGACUGUUCUAAGCAGCAGGAUGAUUUAGAAGAAAAGGCACUGAGCUGAGAAUUGGGCAACAAUAAUUUACCAUUUGCUAAGCAUUUCUGUAAUCAGGAUUUGACCUUCCAACCAUAAAAAUGGGGAUACUGACUCUCAUUUAAGCUAGCCAGGACCCCAACCUAGUCCUUAUGACCCCAAGGCAAAAGCUAAAUGCAGAUGUGCUAGAGCUCAUCAUGCAUAUUUGGACAAAUCAUUUCACCUCAUUAGUCUUCAGUUUCAUCUACACCUAAGGGGCCAAAAUGCUCUGCCCCAGAACACCUUGUAGCUAGAAAUCUCCAGAUCCUGAAGAGUACGUGUAGAGUGUAGUGUCUUGUGUACUGAUUGGGACUGGAGGUGUGGCUUGGCACCACCAUCAGUAGGAAGGGAGGGUAAACUCACUUUGAUAGUGUUCCAAGGUGGAAGGUGACACGGCUAUUAUACAAUGCGUUAAACAGUCUGGUUCUCAUAUUUUUUGGGGAAAGUAAAUACCAGGACCUAAUUAGACUUUCCUAUACCUGACAUCAGCCUAUUAUACUGUAAACAUCAUGCCUCCGUGAGCUUUCCUUUCCAAAUGAAAUGAUCCGGAGGCUUGGAAUUUCUUUUUACAUGGCAUGCUCUUCUUCCAUGUGUGCUGAAAAUGAUCACUGUCCUUUUCUGAGCCUUUGCUAUUUUUGCUCUGGUUUUUUUUUCUUUUCUUUUUUUUUUUUUUUGACCCAGGACUGAUUAAAAGGAAUUUGUUUGCUUGCUUUAAUUUUUUCAUAAAAGAUAGAGAGGCAGUGAGACUCUUCUAGAGUACACAAGGAUUCUUUAUUCAUAUAUAACCUCUAAAAUGUGAAUGAGAAAAGCCAGGAAAGAAAACUAAUCCUAUCUGAGUGCCUAUAAAGUGAAAGGACCUCUGCUAGGUCUACUUGAUAUAGUAUCUCCCUUCAUCUUCUGGUAUGGGAGGCAGUGCUGUGUUACAGUCUGUGCCCAUACACUCAGGUCAGGCAGACUUGGUCAGACAGACUUGACUUUUCAUCAGAAACAUCAUGCUGUCUGACCAUGUGACUUUGGAAAACCUAUGUAACCUUUCUAAUAUUUGUUUCCUCAGUGAGACAACAUACGUAAAGUACUUAGUAUUACUUGAAUAAGUGCUCAGUGAAUGUUAGCCAACAGAGUUACAACUACCCCAAAGGGUAGGUCUUAUCUACUUCACAUUUGGAUGAAAAAUGUACAGUUCUAAGAAGUUAAGUAAAAGAUUUUCAAACCCAUAUUGAUCUGAGACUGUCGUGUUUCUUUUCCCCAGUACUCUGCUUUACCCAGGGAAAACAUCCUAUACUCCACCCUUCAUCCCAUCUCAUUUUGCCAUCACAGACUCCACAGGGGUCAAAAAUCAAUUCUGGAACCAGAUGAUCUGUUUCAAAUCUCAGCUAUACCACUUGUUAGUUACAUAACUUUUGGCCAAUUUCAUAACCUUUCUGUACCUUAGUUUCUUCAGUUAUUGAAUGGGAAUGAUAACAGUCCUUGUCCCUUAGGUUCUUUUAAAGAUUAAAUAAGCUAAUACAAAUGCAGUGCUUACAGCAGUGACUGAUACAUAGAAAGUGCCCAGCAAGUAUAAAGCAUUCUUAUUCUUCUUUACCUAGACAUCUCCCAGCUACAGGGGUGGUGCAUAACUUAGAUCUGGUCAAUUGUAGUGUCCUAUCUUUUUACCAUGGUUUGUCUAGGGCAAGGUCAACAAAAUUUUUCUAUAAAGAGCAGAUAGCAAAUAUUUUAGGCUUUGUGGACUACAUGGUCUCUGUUACCACUACUUGUCUAUUCUGUUUUACUGGGAAAGAAGUCAUAGACAAUAAAUCAACAAAUGAGUAUAUUGUGUUCCAAUAAAACUGAAACUUGAUUUCAUAUAAUUUUUAAGUAUUACAAAAUAUUCAUCAUUUUAAAAAUGACAAUUUUUUUUCUUUACAGUCAAAAGAAGAAGAAGAAGAAGAAGACGAUGACGACAGUGGCAGCAGGCUGGAUUGGGUCUGUGGGUCAUAGUGUAUUGACUUCUGAUUUCAGGGAUGGACAUGUGAUCCACAAAUGACCAAAGUCCUGCCAUGAGUUUUAAUACGUGAAUAGUGUGUGCUUCUUCCUUCUGAACCAUGAUUCCCAUUGGCACCUUCCUUCCCAAAUGGAAAGAUCCUGUCUGUGGCAAAACAGAAUGAGGCCAGCAACAGAAAGAAUCAGUGCCAAGCAGAGUCAGCUAAGAGACAGAGUUCUGAUAAAGAAUGAAGGGCUUACUUUCUUCACACUUUGCAAUACUACUGUACAUAGUUACUAAGAAGAGGGGAAGUUAGCAGGUAUCAUGCACCUAACAUAUGCCAGGCAAUUUAGUAAGUGCUUUCACAUCUGACAACCCUGAGGUUGGCUUUAUUAUCCUCAUUUUGCCAGGAACAUAGAUAUGUUUAAUGCCAGUAGAUCGUUUGUUCAGAUACCACAUUUGAUGGAAGAACAAAGUUAAAAGGAUUUUGAAGAGGGUGAGGAAAGAACUAUUUAUCAUUUUCUUUCAGUCUCCAAGAAAGAAUGGAUGGAAGAGUAAACUCUGUCACAGCACACUUAAUUCCUUUUCUGGGAAAGAGGGCAUGUACUCAUUAGGAAUCCCUACUGUUCCCCUUGGCCAUUCUGGGGAGUGGGGAGUGGCAGUCCUGGAGUUCUCACCCAGCUGCCCAGAAGAGAGUGGACAAGCAGCUGAGGCUGCUGAUAAACAGCCUGGGUUAAUCCCAGCUGCAGUUUGCAGCUCCCUUGCCGGACCCAUCCAGGAUUUCCUUCAAAAGUAUCACUUCACAGCAGCUGGCUGGCUUGACUCUGCCAACUGCUUGACCCCUAGCUGCACAGGAAACUUCAGCAGGUAGAACCUGGCCAGCCCGAAUAGACACACCCCAUGCUCCUUAAGAUAGACUAGGAAGGCUCACACAAACAGGGCUCACAUAAUAGAGGAUGAGAAAGAAGCAGGGAAAAUAACCCUUCAUAUCCAUUAACCCCCACUCAUCUUAAUACAUCAUCUUGAUACAUUUGAGUUUUGGAUUGAAGAACUGCCAUAUUAAUACUAACUAUUUGUUGGACAACUGCUGUAUUUCCAUUUCUUGUUAAACUAGCUAUCAUUAUUUAUCAGUCAAUUUUGUGGCAGGCACUGUGCCUACAUUAUUAUUAAUCAUCUCAGCAAUUCCACAAAAUAGAUAUUAAAUAUCACCUGUUAGUUUACGAAUGAGGAAACUGAGAUGACUAGAGUGUUAAGAACUGAUGAACACCAGAAGGGAAGGAGUAUUUGCACCUAGUCUGUUGUCUCUGUUUCUACCACAUUACUAUGGGGGGAAGAGGGCAUAGACUAAAUGAGAGAAGAGGCAUUACUUUUCUUGCCUCAGCUGGUGGGAUUAGGAAAGAUUAAGCCACCAUAAACUGAGGCUUGAAUUCCUUCCUCAAGCUCUAGGGCUCUGUGGCAGGGAAUUUUGUUAUUUUGUGUUCAUCUGCUAUACCACUGGCACCUAACUCACGUGUGGCCCAGAGCAAGGGCUCAACAAAUUUCUGUUGAAUGAGUGAGUAAAUGAGUUAAGGCUUCCUCUGCUUUCAGUAAAACAGGAAAAUUGACUUGGUAGGGCCCUAUCUUCGUUUUUCUUUCUAAGACUCUUAAAAAUCACGUAAACUCCUACCAUUUAGUGCAGUGGAGUUGAAAUUUACCCAAUUUCCAGGUCAUUGUAUAGGCAUUGAUUUACUUAAAGCCACCUUAGUGAUCUGAAAGUGAAUUCGGCUUUUGAAAAUAUCCUUCCUAUUGAACUUGGAGAGCAGUGUGGAACAGGGAAAUAAUUUGAUUUCAAAAGCUUCCUUUGGGUCUUUUUUUUUAUGAACUACAGGCAGGCAGUAAUCAAGUUCUGUAUGCUGAGAUAGUUAAACAGAGACCUCUAGAAGGCAAGUCUUUAAAAUGGGAAUGGAGGGCAAAAAGGAAAAAUUGGAAGAAAAGGUCAAAAGCUGAAGCUUUGCCUAUUCAUCAUCCUGUAGACAGAUCCUGCUCUCAGUUCCCUUUUGCUUGCUCUCUGGGGCAAGGCUGAGUUAGCAAGCUAUAAAUUCCACUAGUCUAAGUGUGAGGAAUGUGGAGAUGAAUGUGAGGAAGUCUCCAUUCCAGAGGAAAGGGCACGAUAGUGGGCCAGCUGGAGAUGGAAGACAGAACACAUCCCAAGUGUGAGCCAACAGAGAUUUGAAAUUAGAAUCUGGGCUCAACCUAAUCUGGGUUUUAAGAACUUUGAUUGUAAAUGGAUAGGACCGUCAAGUAAUUGAAAGAAAGUCUGUAGAGACCUUAAGUGACACGAGAUUGAUUUGUCAAGAAAAAAAAAACUAGCAAAUUUAUCAGAUCAUUUGAAUCAAUGUAUCUUGUUGGCAAAGAGUGGCAUUUGUGCAGGGAACUAGUGAAGUAGAGAGGAAGGUUAAAAGAAAAUAACAGCCACGUAAACAUGAAGGUCACCUGGUACCCAGAGAAGCCUGUAUUGCCAGACAGGGAUCUUAAGCAGCUCAUCCAACUUUCCAUGGGUUGUGAGUGAUGCUGCCCACUAGAACCUGUGGCCUGGGAUCCAGGCCUAGGCUUACUUUGGGAAUUUCUGCGAAGGAUUGCUUUUACUGGGAAGUAUGGUUUAGAAGUAUGGUUAGAAGUAUGGUUGAGAACAGUGUUUUUGAAGAUAUCUGCUAUCUGAAUGCUGGCACCCAUUGAGGAUUUCUGGGUUCUUCAAAAUUUAAUAACUGCCUCUUUCCUUGCCAUAAUUAGGCCAGGUAUAAACAACAACUGAUGUGGGAAACUAAGAAUUCAAGGAAGAUUUGCUUUGAGCUGAAGGAUUUAAACCUAUGUUCUCUUAACAUGACUUCCUCUAGUAUGAAAGACAGAAUAGGUAUUUCAUUAAUAGAAAGUGGGGACUCCAGACUAGCGCUGCCGUUAAUAUGUAAAGUUAGACAAGCCAUUUCACUUCUUGGGAUCUCAUUUUCCUUAACCUUUAAAUAGAAAUACAGUAUUUUCUUUACUUCUCACAGAGAGUAAAAUGAAGAAUAACCAAGUGGUUUUUUUUUAAUAUGAAAAUUGAUUCAACUGUGUUACAUGAAAAAAACUUGUAAAUUCGGGUUUAAGUUCUUCAAAUAUUACUUACUACCUUUAUAUUCUUGAGCAUUAUUUCUUAACUUGUCAGUGCCUCAAUUUCCUGGUAUCUAAACACUUUUUCCAAAAAGUUCUGAAGACUGAAUAAUGUGUGUAAAGCACCUACCUGAUAGAUGGGAUUUGAUAAAUUAGACGGUAUGAUUAUGACUCAUAUCAAGCAAGAAACACAUAUUAAAUACUUAGAUGAGUACUUAACUUGAUGCAUGGUAAAUGCUGAUGAUUAUUAUUACCAUUAAUGUUUUACCAGAUGUGGAAAACUGUCUAAAAUGUAGAAAUUCUCUUGCCAAUGGCCUAAUGGAACAGAAAUGAAUGCAAUCCUUGCAAAGCAACCUGGGCUUUACUAGACCUAGAUCUUUC